AGCACUGUGGUGUUGUUGGUCAAUGUGUCUGGCUGUUAACCAGAAGGUUGGUGUUUCAAGCCCACCCAGGGAUGACUG